rnacentral:lncRNA from 13 species
GCCUGCCGGGCCUUCAGCAAACACGAUGCGCCAAGCACUGAACCGCCCACUGUGUAGCCUCAUAUCAGCGCCCCCUCACCACCACCACCAGCCUCCUGGGACUCCAGUGUUCUGGCAAGAGGGGGAAAGGACUGAUGGCUCAUCUCAACGCUUAGACAUCAUCUCCAGCAUCUCCUUCACCUGCAGCAAGGGGCCAACCCUCAGUACCAGGGCGCUCCACCUCCACUGUUCCCCCAAAAUCUGCCCACUCCCCAGGUGAGGUAGCUCCUGUGGCAGUGAAUCCCAUCCCAGAACAUGCUUAUAACAAAUUAUAAUCACCUGUGUACACACCUGCUUCCCCAAAAAGACCACAGGGGCAGGCACGUGUCCUUUUUGUUCUUCAUUCAAGUGUUCAUGCCUGUAUCCCUCACCAGAGGGUGAGCCUGAUGAGGUGGGGAGCAACGUUUCUGCUCACUAGUCCUUUCCCCUCUCCGUGUGCCGCCCAGCACCUGACACCAUCCAAAGAUUCCCCUGAUCCCCGGGCUUCCCUACAUGCUAUCAGCCAACUUCUGAGCCCUGUCUCUGAGCCACACCCGUGGUCGGCGUGUACAUGGAGUUCGUCAUUCCAUCUUCAGGACCUAGGAGACAGGGACUGCCAUUCUGUGAGGUAGGGGCCGUUAGUUUCAUUUUACAGAUGAGGAGGAGGGACAGGAGAGGUUAAGUGGCUCAGCCAAAGUCACAGCAGGGAAGUUCCGGGGUAGGGACACAAACCCAGGCAGUGUGGCUCUGCCACCCACACUCUGAGCCCCUAUUCGAGACCGCGCCUAUCACAGCAUCCAUCACACUGUUGUAGUUCUUUCUUCCCCUCCACAGAGCUUCUCCUGGAGGGAACAGUCUACCAAAGAGGCUGAUUGGAAGGAGCCUUUGUCUUGUUCAGCUAACAUCUUCCACCAGGUGGCAGUCACAGCUCCCGGAUAAAGUCGUCCCUUUCAUUCCCCGCUGCCCCUGAAGAAGGAAACCUUUCUCCCCCCUCCCCAACCGCCCCCGCCGCUCCCCCUCCCCCGUACACCGCCUCCCUCAACUUUUAUUAUUACCAAGAAGUGAAGUGAGUAGCCUCAAUUCAAAACACGACUCCCUGACUGAGCUUUCUGAAAACAGCACUUGGAAAAGAUGCAUCUCCAACCCCUGGAUGCCGCGUCGCAGGCGGAGAGAGGCUGCGGGCUUGGGGGUGCGCAGCCUGGGAAUUUCAGCCCGCAAAAGAGGUGACUGGCUCCUACCUCCGCACCCCUCAUCAAACAGCUGCAGGAGCCGAGAGUUAACCAAACGGCGUGUAUUCCUAGUCAUGAAUUCCAUUUGGCCAGCAGCAGACCUGGGACAAAUGGUCCCCUGAGGACACCUCAGGGAUGGCUGUCAGGAAAGGGCUUUCCCGCCUCAUCUGCCUAAAAUGCUGUUCCUCCACCCUCCGCUGGUUCUGCCACAGCUUCUGGCAGCUUCCAGUGUGUUCCCAGCAGUGGAAAGGGGACUGAUUCCAGGUUGGGGAGUGGGAGGCUGGAACACACCUUGCUCCUAAGUCCCCCAGCUUUCAAAAUGCUAACCCCAGGACUGUUCUGUGAAGGAAAGAGGCUCAGGCCAAUUCCAUGGAUUGAGGGGAGGGGAGAUUUCCUUUUUUUAUAAUAAAGAAAUUGUGGGCUGGGGGCUCA